CACCGCCCGUCACACCAUGGGAGUUGGUUUGACCUGAAGACGGUGCGCUAACCGCAAGGAGGCAGCUGGCCACGGUCAGGUCAGCGACUGGGGUG
rnacentral:rRNA from 1 species